CAUGCACCUGUGGGGUCCCUCGGCCUGGCCUGUGGACCCCUUGGGGGAUGUCAGAGAGCCAGGUUCACCCGAUCCCGCAGGCCAGGCCGAGGGACCCCACUGGUGCACA
rnacentral:pre_miRNA from 1 species